GACGAACGCUGGCGGCGUGCCUAAUACAUGCAAGUAGAACGCUGAAGAGAGGAGCUUGCUCUUCUUGGAUGAGUUGCGAACGGGUGAGUAACGCGUAGGUAACCUGCCUUGUAGCGGGGGAUAACUAUUGGAAACGAUAGCUAAUACCGCAUAACAAUAGGUGACACAUGUCAUUUAUUUGAAAGGGGCAAUUGCUCCACUACAAGAUGGACCUGCGUUGUAUUAGCUAGUAGGUGAGGUAACGGCUCACCUAGGCGACGAUACAUAGCCGACCUGAGAGGGUGAUCGGCCACACUGGGACUGAGACACGGCCCAGACUCCUACGGGAGGCAGCAGUAGGGAAGCUUCGGCAAGGGGGGCAACCCUGACCGAGCAACGCCGCGUGAGUGAAGAAGGGUUUCGGAUCGUAAAGCUCUGUUGUAAGUCAAGAACGAGUGUGAGAGUGGAAAGUUCACACUGUGACGGUAGCUUAACAGAAAGGGACGGCUAACUACGUG
rnacentral:rRNA from 1 species